rnacentral:misc_RNA from 1 species
GAUGAAGAACGCAGCGAAAUGCGAUAAGUAGUGUGAAUUGCAGAAUUCAGUGAAUCAUCGAAUCUUUGAACGCACCUUGCGCCCUUUGGCUAUUCCGAAGGGCAUGCCUGUUUGAGUAUCAUGAACACCUCAACUCUCAUGGUUUUUCCAUGAUGGGCUUGGACUUUGGGGUCUUGCUGGCCUAUAGUCAGCUCCUCUUAAAUGAAUCAGCUUGCCAGUGUUUGGUGGCAUCACAGGUGUGAUAACUAUCUACGCUUGUGGUUUUCCAUCAAGUCACCUUCAGCGAUGGAGGUUCGCUGGGGCUCAUAAAGAAGGCCUCUCCUCGGUGAGGAUGGCUCCUUUGAACGUUUGAUCUCAAAUCAGGUAGGACUACCCGCUGAACUUAAGCAUAUCAAUAAGCGGAGGA